rnacentral:rRNA from 1 species
AGAGUUUGAUCCUGGCUCAGGACGAACGCUGGCGGCGUGCCUAACACAUGCAAGUCGAACGGAGUUGAAAGGAGCUUGCUUUUUUCAACUCAGUGGCGGACGGGUGAGUAACGCGUGGGUAACCUGCCUUAUACAGGGGGAUAACAACCAGAAAUGGUUGCUAAUACCGCAUAAGCGCACAGGACCGCAUGGUCCGGUGUGAAAAACUCCGGUGGUAUAAGAUGGACCCGCGUUGGAUUAGCUAGUUGGCGGGGUAACGGCCUACCAAGGCGACGAUCCAUAGCCGGCCUGAGAGGGUGAACGGCCACAUUGGGACUGAGACACGGCCCAGACUCCUACGGGAGGCAGCAGUGGGGAAUAUUGCACAAUGGGGGAAACCCUGAUGCAGCGACGCCGCGUGAAGGAAGAAGUAUCUCGGUAUGUAAACUUCUAUCAGCAGGGAAGAUAGUGACGGUACCUGACUAAGAAGCCCCGGCUAACUACGUGCCAGCAGCCGCGGUAAUACGUAGGGGGCAAGCGUCAUCCGGAUUUACUGGGUGUAAAGGGAGCGUAGACGGACUGGCAAGUCUGAUGUGAGAGGCGGGGGCUCAACCCCUGGACUGCAUUGGAAACUGUUAGUCUUGAGUGCCGGAGAGGUAUGCGGAAUUCCUAGUGUAGCGGUGAAAUGCGUAGAUAUCGAGAGGAACACUCGUGGCGAAGGCGGGUUCCUGGACAUUAACUGACGCUGAGGCACGAAGGCCAGGGGAGCGAAAGGGAUUAGAUACCCCUGUAGUCCUGGCAGUAAACGGUGCACGCUUGGUGUGCGGGGAAUCGACCCCCUGCGUGCCGGAGCUAACGCGUUAAGCGUGCCGCCUGGGGAGUACGGUCGCAAGAUUAAAACUCAAAGAAAUUGACGGGGACCCGCACAAGCGGUGGAGUAUGUGGCUUAAUUCGAUGCAACGCGAAGAACCUUACCUGGGCUUGACAUGUAAUGAACAACAUGUGAAAGCAUGCGACUCUUCGGAGGCGUUACACAGGUGCUGCAUGGCCGUCGUCAGCUCGUGUCGUGAGAUGUUUGGUUAAGUCCAGCAACGAGCGCAACCCCUAUUGCCAGUUACCAGCACGUCAAGGUGGGGACUCUGGCGAGACUGCCCAGAUCAACUGGGAGGAAGGUGGGGACGACGUCAGGUCAGUAUGGCCCUUAUGCCCAGGGCUGCACACGUACUACAAUGCCCAGUACAGAGGGGGCCGAAGCCGCGAGGCGGAGGAAAUCCUGAAAACUGGGCCCAGUUCAGACUGUAGGCUGCAACCCGCCUACACGAAGCCGGAAUCGCUAGUAAUGGCGCAUCAGCUACGGCGCCGUGAAUACGUUCCCGGGUCUUGCACUCACCGCCCGUCA